rnacentral:rRNA from 1 species
AUUGAACGCUGGCGGCAUGCCUUACACAUGCAAGUCGAACGGCAGCAUGGGUGCUUGCACCUGAUGGCGAGUGGCGAACGGGUGAGUAAUGCAUCGGAACGUACCCGGAAGUGGGGGAUAACGUAGCGAAAGUUACGCUAAUACCGCAUAUUCUGUGAGCAGGAAAGCGGGGGAUCGCAAGACCUCGCGCUUCCGGAGCGGCCGAUGUCGGAUUAGCUAGUUGGCGGGGUAAAGGCCCACCAAGGCAACGAUCCGUAGCGGGUCUGAGAGGAUGAUCCGCCACACUGGGACUGAGACACGGUCCAGACUCCUACGGGAGGCAGCAGUGGGGAAUUUUGGACAAUGGGCGCAAGCCUGAUCCAGCAAUGCCGCGUGCAGGAUGAAGGCCUCGGUUGUAACUAGCUUUGUUCUAGGGAAGAACGACUCUGGGCUAAUACCCUCGGGUAAGUGACGGUACCUCGAAGAAUAAGCACCGGCCUAACUACGU